rnacentral:lncRNA from 1 species
GCAUAGAUAUUCAGAAUGGAGAUGUCAUCUUGGUAGAUUUUUCCUUUAAUUAGUAUGAAGUAUCUUUCAUCUCUUUUUAUUAAUUUUGGUUGGAAGUCUAUUUUAUUAGAUAUUAGAAUGGCUACUCUAGCUUGCAUCUUGUGUCCAUUUGCUUGGAAAAUCUUUUUCCAGCCCUUACUCUGAGAUAAUGCCUAUCUUUGAUGUUGAGGUAUCUUUCAAAGGCAGAAGCUCAAUCCAAACAAUGGCUUCCCAUUGUUUCUAUCAGUUGUAAUACAGGGAGAGUGAGAAUUUUUGAUUACUUAAGUAAUGCCAGACUCUUACAAAAAUAAGCAGACAGGCUAAGAGCAAAAAAGGAAAGAAGAGUGACAGGGAAAACGCUUUCAAACAAUCAAAUAACAACAACCACAAAAAAUUGAUUUCCAUAGAGGAGAAAAAUUGUGUCGGCACAGAUCUUUACACUGUUAUAUAUAUGUAUAAUACCAAAGAAUUACAAUAGCAGAUGUCUGAUAAAAUCCUAUUAAAAUUAAUAUGAUUCUACAGCAAACAAAAUAAAAACUAUAAUAUGAGCUAGAAGCUGAUGUGGUCGAGUAUUCACACAGCAGGCUAAUGGCACUCAAUUCUAUCUUCACACCACAGAAAGAUUUAUAAGGUUUAUGAAAAUUCCUCACAUAGGACUCCACCUAACAAAAGUGUCUAUGUUUAAUAUAUUCUCAUACUCAUGACUUGCAAUCAUGAUAUUUACAUUUUUGCAUAGAUUAUUUUAAUAAUUUUAAUUUCUUUGGGAUGACUCCAUUUAUAUUUACUAAACAAGGGUUAAAUAAUUUAAGGAUUACUUUCAAAUGAGCUCCCAGUAACACAUUUAGAAGAAAAAUGUACUUCUUUCAAGAAGACAGAAUUUAAAAAUGAAUUAUUCCAAUAUGAACUUUAAAUAACAUAAGUUUAGAGACUUGAUUCUGAUAAUUCAUGCCUAUAUAUUUAUGAACUUAAACACACUUAUAUGUUGUUUUCUGUUGGAAAGAAAGUAACAGAAUAAAUAUAUCUGCAUAGGAUAUAAAACACAUUUUAGAGAAAUUUACACACUGGAUUAUAUAAACGCAAGUUCAAUAGAUUAUCAGUUAAAAUUUUAUUACUUAGUAAUAUAUGGUGGGACCAGUUUACAAAUGAUGUAGUUGUGGUAGCAAAAGUGACAGGAAGGAACUCAGCACUCAACAUGUUUAAUAAAUAAAGUGUAGUGAUUCAUUAAAUAUGGUACCUACAGGAUCAAAAAUACCAGUACUCCAAUCAAUCUUUAACUGUGGCCUUGUAGACAACCCAAAUAUCUUAGGUAGGUAAGAAAUUCCAGCAUCACACUAUAUAGGAAAUACUGUGGAAACUGACAGUUAACUGUGCACAAAGUUCAAUGGCUUCAAAAUAAUGUAUAAAGGAUAAGAAGAAACCAGUUUACCAUUUUGGUAUUAUUUUGGUUGCUUUGUAUAACUUCAAUAAUUUUUCACAACUGGGGCACAUAGCCACACUCUAAUGAGAUUAUAUAAACAUAAAUGUGUCCUGUUUUCUUAGUAAAUUAUUUAUUUAUAAGCAUUUAUGGAAUUAUUUAUUGAACUAUUCAUAGCAUAUUUAUUUUAUAGCACUUUAUUAAAAAUUAAUAUGCAUUCCCAUUAUGUACUUUACUUCAAAAUUCUGUCUGUGGGGCUGUAAUAUUACUAAAUAGUGAUGUGUCAUCUCUGCCAUGUACUCUUGAAGCAGAAAGAUAUUAACAAUAAAAAAUGUCAAUUUUACUAGACACCUAAGACAUAUAUCUAAAGAUAACUAAAUAUUUAGGCAAUAUCUUCGAUGGGAUUGGUUUCAUUGAUUUUCCAUUAAGGCAAAAGAUGGCCAGCUCCUUUUUCUUGACUCUAAUUAAAAUAAAAUGGUGCUCAUUUCAUAAAAGAUAACAUCAAUAUCAGGACAAUGUUUUUUUCUCUGGCAAAUCUAUGCAAUAUUUAUAAUAAUUGUUUAAAAUUACUUAUCCUGAGAAAGAAUAAGAAUAAGAACAGAUUUGAAUAAAGAAUAAAGCUCCUUCAUUAUUAUAUACUUUUAAAUUCAACCAUGGAACAAAAUCAGUAAGAACAGAAUUCAGACCUCUGAUGUCCACAGCAAACCUGAAUACUUUAGGCAGAAAUAAAACAAGUAAAUAGAUUAUACACAACAAUAAAAAGCAUCAGAAAUUGAUGCAUCUGGGUUUUGCUAAGUAUAACAAAGGUCCUCAGUCCUUCCUCGAUGAAGCCAGGAGAACCACACUGAACAGUGUGCUGCCACGAGCAGAAAUCACUCAGAAAGGCCACCAUGAAUUCAUUUUUGUAUUAAGCAUAGAGGUCUGUUUCUUGCACCACCCCACCCCCAAACAAAGACAUAAAAGAUAUAUUUGGAAAUACAAGAUGAAUCCUGUUUUCAUAAAAGAAAUAUGGUUACUUCAAAAACCGAAGUCACUUGACUUUUCAGUUUUAGCCUUCCCUCCCUCAUCAUGAGAAAUAAGAGCUCACUACCCAGCAAAGCAGCAUUAUGACACACUAUUUACACACCAGUGAAGGCUUUGAGGAAGGCUUUGCAGCAUGAGUCAACUGCAGCAAGCUCUAAGAAUCAGUUUCUUGUUUGUAAUGAAAGUGCUUAGGAGUGAGAACUGCCAGGGUAGCCAGGAUCCUCUCACAGUAUUAAGGCGUGCCCACAUGGGAAUGGUCAGUUGAGAAUCAGUACAGUGAGCAUUAGGUAAUGACCCUGGGAACAGCACCCCAGGCUCCUUCAGCAUGAGUUCUCUUCUCAUUCAAACAUUUGUUCUUCCUCUUCAUCUGCUUCUUCAAUAACCUGAAUCUCAUCUGCCUGAGGUAAGGAGGCAUUAUCCACCUGCAGUUUGUUCCCCUCAGCUUUACAUUUUUCUUCUUCUUCUUCUAUGAUUUCCUUCCAUAUCUUGUGGUUUUCAGUGAGGUGGUGCAUUAGUUGGCAAAAUAUUCGCCGCCUGCCUUUCCUUCUUUGUGGUUCUGUGAAAUUUAAAACAAACAUUUAUACCAAAGCAAAUAAAACCCAAUGGCCCAUUCAAUUAAUGCCUAAGUACCCACUCUAGUCUAGUUACAUAAGCGCUAAGGUUAUAAAUGUGCUGUCCACACCAUGGAAAUCACAUCCUAAACAGAACAAAGCUCUGAGUGAUAGGGGUAGUCCUGGAUAGGAACAAAAUAGAGAUAAGGUCAAGAGAAUACCUGGUUGGAAGAGAAGCUAAAACUUUUAAGGUGAAAAUCAUAAUAAUCUAAAGUUAGAAAUCAGUUUGUAAUGUCUGAAUGUAGUAAAUUAAAUGUAAUUACCAGUAUUCUGGGGAACAUUAUUUUGAAAAGUCAGUCAACUGACCCCAAUUUGGCAUAAGAUUGUUCUCUACCUUGCCCACCCAAAAUACAAGGCAUGUGUGUCAGAAGUGGUAGAGGUACUUAUACAAGUGGAGCCCGCUGAAGAACACUGGUGGAGGACAGUAUCAACAGAGAGGUUCCUCCAGUAAAUAAAAACGAAAUUCCCAUUGUGUUAUAGUUCUGAUUCUUAGUAAUCGUAGAAAAAAAGUGUCUAGCUAGGUAUAGUUUAAAUCUUACUUUAAAAUAAAGAGGGCAUUUCAUUAAUAGUUUCAAAGACAAGAUUCAAUUUUCCACUUUAUUUCAUUGUUUUAUUCAGAAAACUAUGUUGCUAUAUAACUCAUUCUUAAUAUUAAAACCUUGGUUCUUCUCUCAGAGCCAAGGGCCCUAUUCUCCUUUCUCCCUGCUGUCUUGGUUUCUUUCCUGAGUCCAUGUGAGACUGCUGGAAAGUUGUGCUCCCCAGCUGUUUUGAUGUUUGAAGAGGGUGAGAUGAGGAGUCUAACUGCUAGGGCUCACUUCAAAGAUGUCCAGAUGAGCAUUCGCUGGAGGACAGCAUCUUGGAAAAUGUUCCUUUUGUUAAAGAAAGUCUCCACUGUACUACAGAAGUAACACAGCUCCAGCACACAGCAGUUAUUCUAAACCUGACUGUUCAGCCUGAACACUUAGGAGUUACUCAACAUAUCUGUACCUAAGAUGUAAAAAUCUAAAUCCCCUUCGGGAUAGCAUUGAAAAUGUAAACGAGGAAAAUACCUAAUUAAAAAAAAAUACU